rnacentral:rRNA from 1 species
AUUGAACGCUGGCGGCAUGCCUUACACAUGCAAGUCGAGGGGCAGCACGGACUUCGGUCUGGUGGCGACCGGCAAACGGGUGCGGAACACGUACACAAUCUACCUUUAUCUGGGGUAUAGCCCGAAGAAAUUCGGACUAAUCCCCCAUAAUAUAUUAGAGUGGCAUCGCUUCGAUAUUAAAACUCCGGUGGAUAAAGAUGAGUGUGCGUCCCAUUAGCUAGUUGGUAGGGUAACGGCCUACCAAGGCAACGAUGGGUAGCUGGUGUGAGAGCACGACCAGCCACACGGGCACUGAGACACGGGCCCGACUCCUACGGGAGGCAGCAGUGAGGAAUAUUGGUCAAUGGACGCAAGUCUGAACCAGCCAUGCCGCGUGAAGGAUGAAGGCCUUCUGGGUUGUAAACUUCUUUUAUUGGGGAAGAAAAUUACGGUUUCUACUGUAACCGACGGUACCCAAGGAAUAAGCACCGGCUAACUCCGUGCCAGCAGCCGCAGUAA